rnacentral:snRNA from 1 species
GUGCUCACUUCAGCAGCACAGACACUAAAAUUGGUACGAUAGAGAAGAUUACCAUGGCCCCUGUGCAAGGAUGACAUGCAGAUUUAUGGAACAUUUCAUAUUUUU